AGCGAACGCUGGCGGCAGGCCUAACACAUGCAAGUCGAGCGCCCAGCAAUGGGAGCGGCAGACGGGAUAGUAACACGUGGGAACGUACCUUUCAGUUCGGAACAACCAAGGGAAACUUUGGCUAAUACCGAAUACGCCCGUAAGGGGAAAGAUUUAUCGCUGAAAGAUCGGCCCGCGUCUGAUUAGCUAGUUGGUGAGGUAAUGGCUCACCAAGGCGACGAUCAGUAGCUGGUCUGAGAGGAUGAUCAGCAUCACUGGGACUGAGACACGGCCCAGACUCCUACGGGAGGCAGCAGUGGGGAAUAUUGGACAAUGGGCGCAAGCCUGAUCCAGCCAUGCCGCGUGAGUGAUGAAGGCCAUAGGGUUGUAAAGCUCUUUCGUCAGGGAAGAUAAUGACGGUACCUGAAGAAGAAGCCCCGGCUAACUUCAUGCCAGCCGCCGCCGUAAAAC
rnacentral:rRNA from 1 species